GCUUUCCAUGAGGCCGAGAGAAGAUGACAUUAAUCUUCAGUACUGUUCUCUGGCACAGCGGUGUCCGGCCAGAUGAUGCCAGCCCACCAUGGUCUUCUGCACAGGGAGCUGUUGGAGGAAAGAGGUACUUUGUAAAGCCUUCAGUUCUGCUUUCAUGCUGCAUUGACUAUCAGCAACACGAACAUCAUGUCAUAAACAGGCACAAAGCCAUUAAGCAACAGCAAUAAAAACGCUUCGAUAUAUAGGGGCUUUCACACAUAGAGGUUAAAUGGCUGUAUGCUUUUUGCUUGACUUUCUUCACUCAUUGGUUGAUGCUUAGUGCUUGCACAACCUUGAACUUUACUAAGUCGCUGCCAGUGUGAAGAAACCUUUUUCGUUUUCUAAUUUACUUCAUUGUAGAAGGCCGACAUAAUCAAAAACCUUCAUUAAAAUAUUUUAAAAUGUUUUAAAUUAGACACAGAGCCUUGCUCUGAACCACAGAUGAUUUUCAAUGAGGCAUUGCAUUCAACUCUAUGCUGAAGCCGAUUAUCAUACAUAUGCUGAACUCAUGUGUUUGAUUUGCAGCCGUAAAAAUGCGACUUAGCUAGUUAUUAUCAGUUAUGAAACACCUCUGAUGCCCUUCAAGCUCUUUCUAAAGGCCUUUUGUUAGAAGGGAGAAUAAUAUCACAGCAUCGGUAUUCACAUGAUGAUAGAUUUCCACUGAGUCCAUGCUCUAAUAUGUAAUUUUAAUUUGAACUGAUCUGAAGGAUAAUACAAUAAGAAACUCAAAACUAGUGGGGAAACUUUUAUCAGGUACUGCGAAGAUAAGAAAGGAUGAGGAGGGUUUGCGGUGAGUAAUUUCUACUCUAAACUAAAGGAGAAUGAUCCUUGAGCUGUUCUGUUAACUAACGAAAGGAAUCCUCCUACAAGAACCCACAAAUAUCUUUCUGACCAGCAAGAAACAAAGAGACUCAUUUCAAUUUCAAAUUUAAAAACCUUUAUUUUUAAGCAUGCAAAAUAAACUCUGCCCUGAAGAAAGACCA
ensembl:lncRNA